UGAGGAAUAUUGGUCAAUGGGCGAGAGCCUGAACCAGCCAAAUCGCGUGAAGGAAGACUGCCUUAUGGGUUGUAAACUUCUUUUAUACAGGAAUAAAAAAGGGGACGUGUCCCUUAUUGCAUGUACUGUAUGAAUAAGCAUCGGCUAACUCCGUGCCAGCAGCCGCGGUAAUACGGAGGAUGCGAGCGUUAUCCGGAUUUAUUGGGUUUAAAGGGUGCGCAGGCGGGCUUUUAAGUCAGCGGUGAAAUCUCGGGGCUUAACUCCGAAACUGCCGUUGAAACUGGGAGUCUUGAGUAUGGAUGAAGUAGGCGGAAUUCGUUGUGUAGCGGUGACAUGCUUAGAUAUAACGAGGAACUCCGAUUGCGUAGGCAGCUUACUAAGCCAUAACUGACGCUCAAGCACGAAGCGUGGGGAUCAAACAGGAUUAGAUACCCCUGGUAGUCCACGCCGUAAACGAUGAUUACUAGUUGUAUGCGAUAUACUGUAUGUGACUAAGCGAAAGCGAUAAGUAAUCCACCUGGGGAGUACGCCGGCAACGGUGAAACUCAAAGGAAUUGACGGGGUCAUAGCUGUUUCCUG
rnacentral:rRNA from 1 species